GACGAACCGAGCAAACGUUGUUCGGAAUCACUGGGCUUAAAGGGCGCGUAGGCGGGCUGCCAAGUCCGGGGUGAAAUCCUCCAGCUUAACCGGAGAACGGCCUCGGAUACUGGUGGUCUCGAGGGAGAUAGGGGCAUGCGGAACUGUAGGUGGAGCGGUGAAAUGCGUUGAUAUCUACAGGAACUCCGGUGGCGAAGGCGGCAUGCUGGAUCUUUUCUGACGCUGAGGCGCGAAAGCCAGGGGAGCGAACGGG
rnacentral:rRNA from 1 species